rnacentral:rRNA from 1 species
UACGUAGGGUGCGAGCGUUAAUCGGAAUUACUGGGCGUAAAGCGUGCGCAGGCGGUUCGUUGUGUCGGCGGUGAAAGCCCCGGGCUCAACCUGGGAAUGGCCGUUGAAACUGGCGAACUGGAGUGUGGCAGAGGGGGGUGGAAUUCCGCGUGUAGCAGUGAAAUGCGCAGAUAUCAGGAGGAACACCGGUGGCGAAGGCGGGUCUCUGGGCCGAUACUGACACUGAGGAGCGAAAGCGUGGGGAGCGAACAGG